GAUGAACGCUGGCGGCGUGCCUAAUACAUGCAAGUCGAGCGAAUGGAUUAAGAGCUUGCUCUUAUGAAGUUAGCGGCGGACGGGUGAGUAACACGUGGGUAACCCGCCCAUAAGACUGGGAUAACUCCGGGAAACCGGGGCUAAUACCGGAUAACAUUUUGAACCGCAUGGUUCGAAAUUGAAAGGCGGCUUCGGCUGUCACUUAUGGAUGGACCCGCGUCGCAUGAGCUAGUUGGUGAGGUAACGGCUCACCAAGGCAACGAUGCGUAGCCGACCUGAGAGGGUGAUCGGCCACACUGGGACUGAGACACGGCCCAGACUCCUACGGGAGGCAGCAGUAGGGAAUCUUCCGCAAUGGACGAAAGUCUGACGGAGCAACGCCGCGUGAGUGAUGAAGGCUUUCGGGUCGUAAAACUCUGUUGUUAGGGAAGAACAAGUGCUAGUUGAAUAAGCUGACACCUUGACGGUACCUAACCAGAAAGCCACGGCUAACUACGUGCCAGCCGCCGCAGUAA
rnacentral:rRNA from 1 species